ACAGCCCCGUACACAAAAAUGCACAUAUUGUGAGCUCGAUGAGUAGGGCGGGACACGUGGUAUCCUGUCUGAAUAUGGGGGGACCAUCCUCCAAGGCUAAAUACUCCUGACUGACCGAUAGUGAACCAGUACCGUGAGGGAAAGGCGAAAAGAACCCCGGCGAGGGGAGUGAAAAAGAACCUGAAACCGUGUACGUACAAGCAGUGGGAGCACGCUUAGGCGUGUGACUGCGUACCUUUUGUAUAAUGGGUCAGCGACUUAUAUUCUGUAGCAAGGUUAACCGAAUAGGGGAGCCGAAGGGAAACCGAGUCUUAACUGGGCGUUAAGUUGCAGGGUAUAGACCCGAAACCCGGUGAUCUAGCCAUGGGCAGGUUGAAGGUUGGGUAACACUAACUGGAGGACCGAACCGACUAAUGUUGAAAAAUUAGCGGAUGACUUGUGGCUGGGGGUGAAAGGCCAAUCAAACCGGGAGAUAGCUGGUUCUCCCCGAAAGCUAUUUAGGUAGCGCCUCGUGAAUUCAUCUCCGGGGGUAGAGCACUGUUUCGGCAAGGGGGUCAUCCCGACUUACCAACCCGAUGCAAACUGCGAAUACCGGAGAAUGUUAUCACGGGAGACACACGGCGGGUGCUAACGUCCGUCGUGAAGAGGGAAACAACCCAGACCGCCAGCUAAGGUCCCAAAGUCAUGGUUAAGUGGGAAACGAUGUGGGAAGGCCCAGACAGCCAGGAUGUUGGCUUAGAAGCAGCCAUCAUUUAAAGAAAGCGUAAUAGCUCACUGGUCGAGUCGGCCUGCGCGGAAGAUGUAACGGGGCUAAACCAUG
rnacentral:rRNA from 1 species